UACCAAAAAAAAAAAAAAAAUAUCUCAUCGCUUCAUAGUACAGCCGUUCUAGAGAUUACCAAAAACCCUCACUCUCUCAUCCCUCACGCCCUGCCACCGAAGCCGGCUUCGUCAACCUCACCGACCACCCACUGGUUUUAUGGCCUACGGUUAUUCUUAUAUUGGAGCGCCUUUUAAGGAGGUCAGAAUUCAGAGCAGAUACUGUAAUUGGGGCAAGGAUGUCUGAGGUGUAAUUGUGUUGAAAAACCCUAUGGCACCACUACAGCAAGGGAGAUUACAGCAGAAGAUCGGGGCUCCCUUUUUCGUACUUAUAUUACUGUUGGAUAUGCUCAUCUAGAGGAAGAAAUUGGUGAUGAUGUCAUAGCAACAUUGGCAGAGAUUUUUUGUUAUGAUGACAAACCUCUAUUUCUCUCUUUUAUGAAGGAGCUAUUUCAAAGAAAAGUACCAAAAACAGAAGAAGUUAGAAAGAAGGAAUCAUCUGAUUAUCAAGCUAAAUAUUGCCCACCAAAAAUUUUGCAUGGAAUUUGUCAGUUUGGCGUAAUAGAUUGUGCCAUCGCUUUUCUCGGAGGGGAGACCGGUUUAACGAUGGAUUAUAUCCAUUGCAUUUAGCAGCUAAUGGUUUAUCAUAUGAAAUGAUUGCGACAUUGCUUAGCCAUGGAGCUCAGACUGAUGUCAGAACCAUAGAGGGUAAAUUUAGGGGCGACUUGUUUCCUCUCAACGUAUCACUUGAAACAGUAAGUUAUCAUCGAUCCUUGAUUGAUUGGACCCCAAAACAAUCUAUCUUCAAAUUGAUCGUUGUUCUUUGUCUGCCUCAAAUGAAAGUACCAUUAGAAAUUAAUAGGUUGCUGGCAUGGAACACAAAGGAGGUUGAUAAAAUAUUUAUUCAUUAUGCUAUGGAGGGAGAACUUAUUGAGAUGGCUACUCUACUGAUGGUUGCUCGAGAAAAGUUAAUCCCUUUGAGCAUGUCAAUACGCAAAAGCAUCAUUGAAGAGAUUGUAGGACUAACUGAAGAUGAAAUCAAAUUGAUCGGAAGUCACAAGAAUGAUAAGUUGGUUGAAGAGAUUGUAGGACUAACUCAAGAUGAAAGCAAGUUGCUCGGAAUUAAUAAGAUUGGUAAGUUGGUUCGGUCGCUUAACGAUAUUAAGGCAGCAAUGACGCAGGGAAUAUUGUUGCUCAAAGUGUUUGAGAAGGCUGGUGUUGCUCUUGAAAAAUACAGGCAGUUAGUACAGAGUGAAAUGCCAAAAGAAAAGGUGGUCAACGACAUUAAGGCGCUGCUUGAGAGAGCCGGGUUUGUUAAAAACGACAAAGAUGUUGAUUUAAGUGACAUUGACUGUGAAAGUGAAAGUAUCAAAGAGGCAACGGAAGAAUUAGAAGAGAGUUUAACAUUGAGGUCUUAUUCAAAGGAUCUCUGGAUGCCACCUCCCUCACUGUCUAACAGUUUUUCCAAGGAAAAGAGUUCGGUCAUAUAUAAAACUUUUAGAACAUUCAUCGAAUAUGGGCCCCUUGUUUUUACGCCUUCGUCACGGUCAUACGUUACAUUCCCGCUCAUGGAUAAAAAGACACAUCGUGUUGCUAUAAGUGUUAACUUUUCGAGAACCCCUAGACCCCCAGCAAUGAUAGUAUCUGCGGCAUAUCUUCUAUCAAGAAAUCAGUUUGCCUCCUUGGCAUUAGCAAUCAAGAAGAGGUUAACUUGCAUAUGAUUGGCAAAUAAGAAGAGAGUUUAACAUUGAGGUCUUAUUCAAAGGAUCUCUGCAUGCCACCUCCCUCACUGUCUAACAGUUUUUCCAAGGAAAAGAGUUCAGACACAUGUAAAACUAUUAGAACAUUCAUCCAAUAUGGGCCCCUUGUUUUUAUGCCUUCAUCACGGUCAUACUUUACAUUCCCACUCAUGGAUAAAAAAAAGACACAUCCUAUUCCUAUAGGUGUUAAAUAUUCGAGAACUGGUAGACCCCCAGCAAUGAGAGUAUCUGCGGCAUAUCUUCUAUCAAGAAAUCAGUUUGCCUCCUUGGCAUUAGCAAUCAAGAAGAGUAUAACUUGCAUAUGAUUGGCAAAUAAGUCAAUGGACUCAUGAUUGCACUGGGGGUUGACUUGGCCACUGUUUGAAUUGUAAAUGGAAGCUGUUAUAAGGGCACUAAAGGCCGUGCAUUUUCUUAAGAAGCAAAGCUGGGAGGCUUAUGCAAGUGACAAAUAAAAUACAGAAGAUCCUUCUUCUACUCAUGAUGCCGUGUUUUAUAGUUGUUAUUUUAUUAUUUAUUUGAGUUCUAAUCUCUCAACUUUGGCAGAGAGGAAGCCUUAGUAAGUUAGUCUUGUAACUCUAUGUUUUCAAUUGUUAAAUUUGUUUGAUGUUCAUACUAACUCAAUAAAAUAUUUAAACAAUUUUAAAUGCAUGUUCCAGUUUGUUAA